rnacentral:rRNA from 1 species
AGAGUUUGAUCCUGGCUCAGGAUGAACGCUGGCGGCGUGCUUAACACAUGCAAGUCGAACGAGAAAUGAAGAUGGAAACCUUCGGGCGGAAGCCUUCAUUUCGAGUGGCGGACGGGUGAGUAACGCGUGGGUAACCUGCCUCAUACAGGGGGAUAACAGUUGGAAACGACUGUUAAUACCGCAUAAGACCACAGCACCGCAUGGUGCGGGGGUAAAAACUCCGGUGGNAUGAGAUGGACCCGCGUCUGAUUAGCCAGUUGGCGGGGUAACGGCCCACCAAAGCGACGAUCGAUAGCCGAUCUGAGAGGAUGACCGGCCACAUUGGGACUGAGACACGGCCCAAACUCCUACGGGAGGCAGCAGUGGGGAAUAUUGCACAAUGGGGGAAACCCUGAUGCAGCGACGCCGCGUGAGUGAAGAAGUACUUCGGUAUGUAAAGCUCUAUCAGCAGGGAAGAAAAUGACGGUACCUGAGUAAGAAGCCCCGGCUAACUACGUGCCAGCAGCCGCGGUAAUACGUAGGGGGCAAGCGUUAUCCGGAUUUACUGGGUGUAAAGGGAGCGCAGACGGUUGCGCAAGUCUGAAGUGAAAUCCCGAGGCUUAACCACGGGACUGCUUUGGAAACUGUGCNACUUGANUAUCGGAGGGGNAGGCGGAAUUCCUAGUGUAGCGGUGAAAUGCGUAGAUAUUAGGAUGAACACCGGUGGGCGAAGGCGGCCUGCUGGAACGAAAACUGACGUUGAGGCUCGAA